CCUUUUCACUAGCCUCGAUCAUAGAGCCAAACGGCUCUCUUCUGUCCAGUCCUAUCCCCUUGUCAGACGGAGAGGGAUAAUAAUAUGAUUUGCAAACCCGAAGGCUCUCGUUCUCUCUAGAAAAAUGAGAGACGUCUCUCAUGGCUUUCAUUUCAAACCCAUCCAUCUAUGCUCUCUCUCUUCUGCAUGACUCUAAAAAAACGCAAGAGCUUUCUGUCUCGUUAAGCACAUUUUUCUCUCAUGUCCUCACCUCUCUUCACCCUCAGCCGCUCAACCACACAGCAGCACCAACCUUGCACCAUAAACCACACAACGAUACUCACUCUUCUCGGCAAGAGCCCCAAACCAACGCCUCUGUCAUGGAAAUGGUAGCACAUUUGAUGCUCAAAUUUUUCCACAAAAGGUCCGUGUAUAGUAUGAAUGUGCAAAUGUCCAUGACCUGAAAGCUCUGCAACGGCAAUGAAAAGGAACAACAACAAAGACUGCAGAUCCGGUUCCUGCAAAGGUAAAAAUCUGUUACUCCGUUCACGAUGGGUUCCAUUGCGUGAGACCGUUGCUUCAUUAUGCCUGCAUGUAAUUAGACUGGAGUGGUAUUUUGUGCAGAACACUCAGAUCCGUGACAGAUCUGAGAGAAAGAAAUCUCAACUGAAAAUCCACUGGACAGAAAGCAUGGCACAUCUUAAAAGUCGUGAUCUAUUGAUUCUGAAGGUAUAAACUCAGCCCUGCUUUGAUUUAAAUGUCAUGAUUAAUUUCAUCCAUGGAUCUGGGAAAAAUGUUAACAAAAACCAUAUAUAUAUGCGGGUUUGAACAUGAAUCGAACUAACAACAUACGGACUACCAUGUAUAUGAGGAAAGUGGACUUCAAAUGCGUGAGACUUAACGAAAACUAAAUGACCACAAAAAAAAUAUAUGGACCCUAAAACGUAAAGGACCCCAGAUCUGUUGAACAAAUAACAAAAUGAAUAAGACCUGCAGACCUAGAAUGAAUUUCACAAUGUUGUGUGUUUUAAGUGAUACAUAUAGCCUGGAUCAAAAAGUCAUAAUGUCCACAAUCUCUGUCUCCAUCUUCUACUCCUCAGGUACAUGGUAGAUGUGUUUAUUGUUUCUCGUUGAUCAUUUGCUUUCUUAAUGGUUCUGUUUUAGUCUAUCCUUUACUUUGUUAAUGUAUGGUUGGGAUGAUUGGUUUUAUGGGCUUUGGGUAAUUCUGGGUUUGCCAUAUGCAUUACUUCUAGAUGAUCAAAAUUAUGUAAUAGUUUAUUCAAACAUUUUUACUUUCUUAAAUGAUUUAUAUUAUGAACUCAAAGUUGGAUGCUCCCACCGAUUUACGAACUCAAGUUGUCUGAUCUUUUUCUCAUUUUUUGAGUUUGAUUGAAUAUGUUCUCUAUUUAUUUAUGAGCGUGUAAGUUAGAGACCCAACAUCCGUUCAUUACAAACUCAAAAACUCUUUUUUAUUUUUUAAUUUUUUUUAAUUUUGUAGUUAUCAAUUUUUUAAUUUUGUAAUUUUAAUUAAGUACAUAAAUCGGAAACUGUACAGAGGCAAGGCGGUAUGUGUCGGAAAGGGAUCCUCUCCGGAACCUUCCACCAAAUUCACCAGGUCCCCAAAUCCGGAUAUUUGAAAUUUGAUGCAACGGUUAUAGUUAUUAUAAUUUUAAAGUAGCCUUGUUUAUAGCUGUUGGGUUAAAUUUUAAGUGCUUGGAUUGGUGUACUUAGCGGCUUUGAUGAAAGGGAUCUGGAGAAGAUCCCUUUCCGUAUGUAUCGGCCAAAAAGGCUUUGAUUUCGCAGCCGCACCUCCACAUCCACCACACCAUGCAGGCGGUGGAGGCCGUCUAGUCGCCUAGGAAGGAAAAGCUUUAUUAAGUUCUACCAAAAAGAAACUACCCUUUAUUAAUUUCAACCAAAAAGAAACUACCCUUUUUCUAUCUUUUUGAGUUUAAUUGAAUAUUUUCUCAAUUUAUUUAUGGGUGUGUAAGUCAGAGACCCCCAGCACAAAAUUUCAUCCCUAAUUUAGGAACCCAGUUUUUUAAUUUUUUUAAUUUAUAGUUAAAUAUACAAUACUGGAUGUAAGGCACUGUGUGAGGGCGAAAAUGCUUUUGCUUGGCAGACACCUCCAGAUCCACCGCACCAUGCAGGUGGUAUAGGAAGCCCUAGGGAGGAAUAGCUUCAUUAUUUUCAACCGAAAAAGAGACGAACCUUUUCUUUUGGUGUUUGAGCAUUCUAGCUGUUCUUUCAUGAUGUGCUUGCUAGGCUUUUUAUGGAUAGGCGGUAAUCCAGCGGCCAAAGCUGAAGCCGAGUGUGGUGGUUGCUCCAGCUGUGGUAAUUCUGGCACGCUUCUCAGCAAUGUCAUUUCAAGAUCUCCAUUCACUGCUAUAGCUUAAACUCAACUGAGUAUUAUACAAGAAUCAAUUUGGGAUUGGAGAGCUCAUGAAAUGACGACAAGGAGAAAGACAGAGAGUGAUUAUUGGUGGAAAACUCCCAAAGGGAAUUAGAGAAUGUUGCUCAUGAAUUCAAAAUGGAAUAGAAUGACUACAAGAUUGGCUUCAAUUCUUCAAUAAUACUUGAGCAUUAUUUAUUCUCUUCUGGAAUUAAAUACCGUUAAUUAACGACAUUAUCCAUCCGCUCAAGUAGUGUACAACAAUUUAUUAUAAUACGUUUACCAUUAGGAAUUUAAUUUUUUUCUUCUUGUGUUUGAUUCAAUGAAGGAGGCAAGACCAGAGAACUAAGAAGAUACAGUUGUCAACUAAAUUCUCCAAAAUAAUCACUGUUUUUUGUUUAGUGGCCAAUUAGUUUUGUUUUUUAGUCAAUAAUUUGUUAAUUAGUUGCACACAAAUAAGUAGGGAGAAUAUAUAUGCACGCUUUAUGAACUCAACAAAGCUCUGACGUGUAGUUGGCAUGAUGUUUUACAAUCUGCAUGCCAUAUAUAUUUCCAAUAUUUAUAACACGAUUAAGGUCCAAAAGGUAGUUAACUAAACCAAAACAUGCGCCAGAAGGCAGGCAGUUACCGCAUUUUUCUUACGAUGCUCCAGUGUCACCUCUUCAACUGCAGCAGAGAGUUUUACAUUUAUUUUCUCAUUUCAUCAAUGGCUGCCAAACAAAGGCAAAUAUAAAUCAAUUUGUACAGGAACGGAGGCUAGAAAGAUGCAAUAGCAUUGUGUAUUCAAAAGAUAUCAUAGUGAAAAAGCUAUAAUUAAAAAGUUGCCCUUAAUUAAUUAAGGAGAGAAAAAAAAAGAAAAAAGAAGGGGAAGAGAACUCUAGAAGCUGCGGGAUGGCAGCAGGGGAGAUGGAGAAAAGAAAGUUGCGGGAAAGAAGAUAGAGGAGGGGAGAAGGGGUCGACUCUGAUUUCAGCGUUUCAAGGAGAACAUCUUCCACGGGAGGCUCAGCCGAUGGAAUGGGCGAUGAGGUUGCGAGUGGCUUUGUAAUUUGCGCAAGCUUUAAAGUAUUGCAGCAGUAAAGGGCAGGCAUUGUACCAUGAUCUGAAUGCUUAUAGAGUCCUCUUUGGUAAGGAUGCGAAUCCCAGACUCGGAUUCAUACUGUUAUCAAAUCAAAUCCCCAAAUCCAAACUCAAUUCGAUAAUUUUGUGAAUUUUUAUUUGUUUUAGAUUGGUUUGUUUCCUAAACCCUUUGUUUCCUCUAUAAUACCCACAUCUCAAAUUGUGAUUUUAUGUGAUUUUUGAUGGGUUUGGAAGUUGAUUUUUUUAACAAGAGUAUGAAUGGUACUAUAGUUUUCGUAGGGAAUAAAGGUCUAAUGAAAAUUCAUGUGGUGGUAUGGUAUUAUGGAAUUGAGUUGCAUUUUGUUAUUAUGGUAUUAUGGAUCUUGAGAUGCAUUUUGUUAUGAAAAAUAGUAUGUGAAUUUAAUGCCCAUGUUAUUGGGUAAAGGUUACAUCUUGCGUCUAGUUGGACUUUAAAAACAUAGCUCCCAUUUCUUACUUCCAAAAACUGAUGCGCAACUCAGACGAAAGCCAUACCCAACUGCUGGAAGUUCAGUAGCAUUUAUUGCUUCAGUAAUGUAUGCAAACUUGAAGCUCAAUCAUUCGUAUUCGUAAAAUCUUGCACAGUUUUAACAGAGGAACUGUUGUAUGUAUUAUGAUCAGUUCCUUCCCUGCAGCUGGCUGUCCGACCUGAUAUUGAAGAAUUCGCAUACAAAAACGUGAAUACAUCUACCAAUUCAAGUAAGUAUAUUUUUGACAACACUGAUUAUAUGUUUUGGGCUCCCUGGUGAAAUGAGCUCUUGCUGGCAGAUGUCAAAUUGAAGAAAGUUAUGAACUAUGAAGUACAUUCUGUUCCAGUGGAUGCAUUAUUAGAGAAAUUGGUUGCAAUUUGAAUUUGCACCGUUGCUAUAAAAUUUUAUUGCUUUGCCAGCACUCCUCAUGCUUUUAUCAUUUUAAAAUGAUACAUUGAGUGUUGUGCUUAUUGCAGGGUGCUAUUUUCUUUCUUGACCAUUUCAUUGCUUCUUUUGUUUGGGCUAAAGACAAGACUUAAUUGAUUGUGCUUGAUAUAUAAUAUGUUCAGGAAUUAAUUCUUAGCCUUAGGAAGUGUAUGUAUGAUUAGAAUGGUGAUAUCGUAUGCCCAGAAGGCUAUGAAUGAAUGUAUCAUGUAUUCUUUGUAAAUUUGUUCGGAUCUUAUGUUCUGAAACAUUGUUUAGAUGUUUCAUCUUAAUCAAAAUAAAUGAAGCCUCCGAGAAGCACUACGGGAAAUUAAGUGUAGUCUAGUAGAUCUACAUUGGUUAGAGAAUGACUAGAAUUUGGGUGAUAUGAUUAUCACCCUAAUUGCUUAUAUCAUUAUCAUUUGUAUAUGUGCAUUGGACUUAUAAAUAUGAUUUCUAUUGAAAUGUGA